UCGGUUGGGUGGGGGAAGUACGCCGGGACUAACGCCCCGGGUAAAUACCGCAUACGUUCCUCUGGGGGAGUCCCUAGGGGAGGAAAAGCUCCGGCGCACGGGGAGGGGUUCGCGGCCUAUCAGCUAGUUGGCGGGGUAAUGGCCCACCAAGGCGACGACGGGUAGCUGGUCUGAGAGGAUGGCCAGCCACAUUGGGACUGAGAGACGGCCCAG
rnacentral:rRNA from 1 species